rnacentral:lncRNA from 1 species
CAACAAAUGGGCCAAGGACCUGAACAGACACUUCUCAGAGGAGGACAUACAGUCAAUCAACAAGUACAUGAAAAAAUGCUCAACAUCUCUAGCUGUCAGAGAAAUGCAAAUCAAAACCACCCUAAGAUACCAUCUCACUCCAGUAAGAUUGGCAGCCAUUAUGAAGUCAAACAACAACAAGUGCUGGCGAGGAUGUGGGGAAAAGGGUACACUUGUACAUUGCUGGUGGGACUGCAGAUUGGUGCAGCCAAUUUGGAAAGCAGUAUGGAGAGUUCUUGGAAAGCUGGGAAUGGAGCCACCAUUUGACCCAGCUAUUCCCCUUCUUGGUCUAUUCCCUAAAGACCUAAAAAGAGCAUGCUACAGGGACACUGCUACAUCGAUGUUCAUAGCAGCACAGUUCACAAUAGC